rnacentral:tRNA from 6 species
UGUGACAGAAUAGUGUGAUAAAUUUAAGAUUUAUUAAUAAAGAUCCUCUUUCUUUAGAA